rnacentral:misc_RNA from 1 species
CGCACAUUGCGCCCUUUGGUAUUCCGAAGGGCAUACCUGUUCGAGCGUCAUUAUCUACCUCUCCACCCCCUGGGGGCGGAGGCAUUGGAGUUCCCAAGUCGGUCUCGACCAACUGGCUCUCAAAAGUAAUGACGGCGUCCAUGGGACCCUCGAUACAUUGAGUUCUUUCGAGAGCACGUAUUGAGUUGCAAGGUCCCUCCGGGCCGGUCGACACCUUUAAUUUUCUCAGGUUGACCUCGGAUCAGGUAGGAAUACCCGCUGAACUUAA